CAACCUGUUUAUACUAAUGAUCCCAUUGAUGUAUUAAACAUCAAGCUGAAGAGAGUUAAGAAAUUUUUCAAAGGUUGGGGUUCCAAUAUAUUUGGUCAGAAUAAGAUCAGGAAAAAUCUUAUUAAGCUCGAGCUACAAGAGCUAGAAAAACUUGAGGAAGAGAAUGAUCUUUGUGGGGAGGCUUACACUAGGAAGUUGGACAUACUAGUAGAACUUAAUAACAUGUAUGUUGAGGAAGAGACCCAUUGGCAUCAGUUUUCUAAUGGGAGAUGGCUCCUGAAAGGUGAUAAUAACACAGACUUUUUUCAUAAAGUGGCUAAUGGGCGACGUAGAAAACAUUCUAUGAUCUCGCUGGAGUGUGGGGGNNNNNNNNNAGAAGGGACUAAAAAUCUACUGUCCCAUGCUACUGAGUAUUAUAGAGACCUAUUUGGACCGGCCCCUGGUAAUACUUGUAGGAUUGAUGCCUCCCUUUGGUCCCAGGAUGAAAACAUCACGCCUGAAGAUAAUGAGUAUCUGACACGUCCUCUUUCACUUGAGGAAAUUAAAACUGCGUUGUUUGAGAUGAAACCUAACCGCGCUCCUGGACCGGACAACAUACCGGUGGAGUUCUAUCAACAUUGUUGG
rnacentral:rRNA from 1 species